rnacentral:tRNA from 1 species
GCUCGUUUAGCUCAGUCCCGCAAGGCUCUUAACCUUGUGGUCCUGGGUUCAAGUCCCAGGGUGGGCG